rnacentral:rRNA from 1 species
UGGGGAAUAUUGCACAAUGGGGGAAACCCUGAUGCAGCGACGCCGCGUGAAGGAAGAAGUAUCUCGGUAUGUAAACUUCUAUCAGCAGGGAAGAAAAUGACGGUACCUGACUAAGAAGCCCCGGCUAACUACGUGCCAGCAGCCGCGGUAAUACGUAGGGGGCAAGCGUUAUCCGGAUUUACUGGGUGUAAAGGGAGCGUAGACGGAAGAGCAAGUCUGAUGUGAAAGGCUGGGGAUUAACCCCAGGACUGCAUUGGAAACUGUUUUUCUAGAGUGCCGGGGAGGGAAGCGGAAUUCCUAGUGUAGCGGUGAAAUGCGUAGAUAUUAGGAGGAACACCAGUGGCGAAGGCGGCUUACUGGACGGUAACUGACGUUGAGGCUCGAAAGCGUGGGGAGCAAACAGG